rnacentral:rRNA from 1 species
UACGUAGGGGGCGAGCGUUGUCCGGAAUCAUUGGGCGUAAGAGCGUGUAGGCGGCUUGGCAAGUCACUUGUGAAAUCUCCGGGCUUAACUCGGAACGGUCAAGUGAUACUGUCGGACUAGAGUACAGAAGGGCAACUGGAAUUCUUGGUGUAGCGGUGAAAUGCGUAGAUAUCUGGAGGAAUACCGGUGGCGAAGGCGGCAUCCUGGACCGGCAUUGACGCUGAGGAGCGAAAGCUAGGGGAGCAACGGGAU